UCAGAGGGCUGUUGGAGGAGUAGAUGAGGUGCUACAUGCAGGGCCCUGAGAACUGUCCUGUCGCUCAGGAAGCAAGUUUUGCAGGGUGUGGACAAUCGGGCAAGUGACUGCAUGUGACAACAGAGAGAGGGCAUGGUACACGGUGGCAGAUGAGCCCGGGACUGGAGGCAGAUCUGGGUUCCAGUUCGGGCUCUACCAGCAGCACCCAUGUGUCCUUCUGUUCUCUGGGCCUCAAUUUCCUGUUGUAAAAUUCAGAACUUGGAAGAGGUAAGUGGUUAGGUCAUUCCUGAGACAUCCCAGAUAAUCACAGCCAUCCAAACGUUGGCUCGGGAGCCCUGAGUAACCAAGACUGCAGGAAGCAACAGUUUAGUAAGGGUUCAGAAUCCUGUGAUUAGGGCUCGAGAAUGAAAUACUCUUCUAAGAGCUUCUCCCAGACCAAAAGGAGCUAAUUAGGAAAGAAUGGUGGCAUUCUCUGGGCAAACUGGAGGAGCCCCUGGGCUUGGCCUCCUUAUGCCUUCCUCCUUGACCCUCCUCUAGCCCCCUUGGACACAACACAACGUCCCCCCUCUGCUUUUUCCCCAGAUACUAUGGUAAACCUGCUCUCAGAUCUUUCUCCACACCUAGAAAAAUUCAUUCAUCGACUAUACACUUUAAUGAAUAUGCACUUACUAUGUACCAGAUAUUCUUUGGCUGCUAGGGCAGAGCAGCAGGGACAUAGCCCCUGUCCCCGUGGGGUCAACAUGCUGGUGGAGGGAGUCAGAGGUAAUAAAAUAAGCAAGUAAGACACACAGUAGAGCAGGCAGAGUUGGCGGAGAACUGGAUCUAACUGGGUUGGGGUUUUGCCAAGCAAGUACAGUCCAACUUGGAGUGUGGAGGGAAGGGUAUAGAAAAGGUAGGGACUAGAAUAACUAACCCUGGAAUUUAGGCUGGGAAAGGAGGGAGUAGGGAUUUGAAAGCGGGUGAGGUCAGUAGUCUGUGGGGCCCUGAGGGGCGAUGGCUCCAAGGCACGAGCCGGAAAGAGGUUUGACAGUGGCUUCUCUGGAGGGCUCAAGCUUGACCAGGAAACUGAGUGCCGAGCCCUGGAAGAUCACUGGGGAGAGGAGGUCAAAGAACUGGGAGGCCAGGGCACCAUCGGCGGGCUGGUAAGUGGAUGGUGAAACCACCAGGCAGGGGGCAGGAGGAGCUGGAGAGAGGACGCGAGAUGGGAGCUAAAAUCCUAAAAUCCGCAGGGAGUGCGGAAAGCAGUGACAGCAGUGAGCGCGGGGAGGCUGGUCCUGAGUCUGGGAUGGGGCGAUGGCGUUCAAGAAGACAUAUUUAAGAGUACUAUGUAAUUUUACGUGUGGGAAGAACCUUUUGUUUUUGUAAUUAGAACUACAGAAAGGGACAGAGCUGUUUAUGUCAUGAAAAGCAGGCCUGAGCAUUAGAAGACUGAGAAACACCUGGGAGGAUCUUGUUUCAACAGAGCUCAAAGCCGUGGCAAAAGGACGGAGCUCGAAUUGUGCAAUUUUGUUUUUCAGAAACCCAGGCCCCCAGCAAAUGGAAAAUGCCAUCCACUGGCACAGAGACUUCAGUUGGGAGCCGAGGACUGAACUCAGACCACCAUUCUUUGUUCAACAUUUCUUCCUGAGGGGCCUGGAGGAAGUCACACCCACAGGCCAGAGCUCAACAUUCCUUUCUGCUGACCCCAGGCACCAGUCCAUGGCACUCCCUAUGCCUGCAGGAUACCACAUCAAAGCAGAGUUGGGGGAG
rnacentral:lncRNA from 10 species